rnacentral:rRNA from 1 species
GACGAACGCUGGCGGCGUGCUUAACACAUGCAAGUCGAACGGAAAGGCCCUGCUUUUGUGGGGUGCUCGAGUGGCGAAAGGGUGAGUAACACGGGAGUAACCUGCCCUUGACUUUGGGAUAACUUCAGGAAACUGGGGCUAAUACCGGAUAGGAGCUCCUGCUGCAUGGUGGGGGGUGGAAAGUUUCGGCGGUUGGGGAUGGACUCGCGGCUUAUCAGCUUGUUGGUGGGGUAGUGGCUUACCAAGGCUUUGACGGGUAGCCGGCCUGAGAGGGUGACCGGCCACAUUGGGACUGAGAUACGGCCCAGACUCCUACGGGAGGCAGCAGUGGGGAAUAUUGCACAAUGGGCGGAAGCCUGAUGCAGCAACGCCGCGUGCGGGAUGACGGCCUUCGGGUUGUAAACCGCUUUCGCCUGUGACGAAGCGUGAGUGACGGUAAUGGGUAAAGAAGCACCGGCUAACUACGUG